rnacentral:rRNA from 1 species
ACCUAGCGGCGGACGGGUGAGUAAUGCUUAGGAAUCUGCCUAUUMAUGGGGGACAACAUCUCGAAAGGGAUGCUAAUACCGCAUACGUCCUACGGGAGAAAGCAGGGGACCUUCGGGCCUUGCGCUAAUAGAUGAGGCCUAAGUCGGAUUAGCUAGUUGGGUGGGGUAAAGGCCUACCCAAGGCGACGAUCUGUAGCGGGUCUGAGAGGAUGAUCCGCCACACUGGGACUGAGACACGGCCCAAGACUCCUACGGGAGGCAGCAGUGGGGAAUAUUGGACAAUGGGGGGAACCCUGAUCCAGCCAUGCCGCGUGUGUGAAGAAGGCCUUUUGGUUGUAAAGCACUUUAAGCGAGGAGGAGGCUACCGAGAUUAAUACUCUUGGAUAGUGGACGUUACUCGCAGAAUAAGCACCGGCUAACUCUGUGCCAGCAGCCGCGGUAAUACAGAGGGUGCAAGCGUUAAUCGGAUUUACUGGGCGUAAAGCGCGCGUAGGUGGCCAAUUAAGUCAAAUGUGAAAUCCCCGAGCUUAACUUGGGAAUUGCAUUCGAUACUGGUUGGCUAGAGUAUGGGAGAGGAUGGUAGAAUUCCAGGUGUAGCGGUGAAAUGCGUAGAGAUCUGGAGGAAUACCGAUGGCGAAGGCAGCCAUCUGGGCCUAAUACUGACACUGAGGUGCGAAAGCAUGGGGGAGCAAACAGGAUUAGAUACCCCUGGUAGUCCCAUGCCGGUAAACGAUGUCUACUAGCCGUUGGGGGCCUUUGAGGCUUUAGUCGGCGCAGCUAACGCGAUAAAGUAGACCGCCUGGGGAAGUACGGUGCGCAAGA